GACGAACGCUGGCGGCGUGCCUAAUACAUGCAAGUCGAACGCAGUGGGGACGGGUGAGUAACACGUGGGUAACCUCCCAUCAGAGGGGAUAACACUUGGAAACAGGUGCUAAACCGAUACUGAUGGAUGGACCCGCGGUGCAUUAGCUAGUUGGUGAGGUAACGGCUCACCAAGGCCACGAUGCAUAGCCGGCCUGAGAGGAUGAUCUGCCACACUGGGACUGAGACACGGCCGAGACUCCUACGGGAGGCAGCAGUAGGGAAUAUUGGGCAAUGGGCGAAAGUCUGACCGAGCCAUGCCGCGUGAGUGAAGAAGGUUUUCGGAUUGUAAAGUUCUGUUAUCGGAGAAGCGGUAUCUAACGAGAAAGCAACGGCUAACUACGUGCCAGCCGCCGCGGUAAUUC
rnacentral:rRNA from 1 species